GAUGAACGCUGGCGGCGUGCUUAACACAUGCAAGUCGAACGAAGCACUUUAUUUGAUUUCCUUCGGGACUGAUUAUUUUGUGACUGAGUGGCGGACGGGUGAGUAACGCGUGGGUAACCUGCCUUGUACAGGGGGAUAACAGUUGGAAACGGCUGCUAAUACCGCAUAAGCGCACGGCAUCGCAUGAUGCAGUGUGAAAAACUCCGGUGGUAUAAGAUGGACCCGCGUUGGAUUAGCUAGUUGGUGAGGUAACGGCCCACCAAGGCGACGAUCCAUAGCCGACCUGAGAGGGUGACCGGCCACAUUGGGACUGAGACACGGCCCAAACUCCUACGGGAGGCAGCAGUGGGGAAUAUUGCACAAUGGGCGAAAGCCUGAUGCAGCGACGCCGCGUGAGCGAAGAAGUAUUUCGGUAUGUAAAGCUCUACCAGCAGGGAAGAUAAUGACGGUACCUGACUAAGAAGCACCGGCUAAAUACGUG
rnacentral:rRNA from 1 species